rnacentral:lncRNA from 1 species
CUGUAACUCUCUUUGGAUGGAAUGCUAGUUCAAGCACCUGUAGAAACCCGUGACUGACACAUAAUUUGUUUUCUGGUAAAGGAACAGCUUACCUUUUCAAAAGAGACCUCAGAUCAUUUUGUUUGAACCUCUACACCAUCUUCCUUUCAGGCACGAAAUUGCAAGAGAGACAUUUCUUCACACUUCUAGCUAUCAGAAGGAGUGGAACUGGAAAUAUCUAAGCUGAGGAACUUUUCCCUGCUGUGAGUCAAAUAAUUUAGCAUCCUCACAGAGGCAGGUGGAUGUUUUACCGUGAAUCACAGCCCAGCUCCAGAGGACAGUUCUCUGUGAUCUACCCACUAAUGACCUCUGAGAAAUCAACCUCUGGCCCACAUGUCUCUGCAGAGAAUCAGAUAUACUGCUGUGGGAAACGAAUACUGGCAUCAGAAGAAGCAGGAAACCAUAUACUGAGAAAGUAACACUACUGUUGAAAUCAAAGUCUCCCGGAAGGUGUUCUCAAGACGCAUUCCUAAUAAUACCCCUAAUUAUAAUUAUAGGCCUACCUAGACUACCUUUCAAUCAAGAUUUCGGGUGCUCAUGGUGAUGAAUAAGGAAGAUCUUGUACAGAAGUUAUCUGGUUCUCAGCAGUCUGGAUUUUAGACAAGGUUUGAC